rnacentral:rRNA from 1 species
AUUAACGCUGGCGGCGUGCAUAACACAUGCAAGUCGAACGAUGAAACUUUAAUGAACCCUUCGGGGAGAAUUAAAGCGGAUUAGUGGCGAACGGGUGAGUAACGCGUGAGUAACCUGCCUUACACAAGGGGAUAGCCUUUGGAAACGAAGAAUAAUACCCUAUAAAACCAUAAAAGCACAUGCAAUUAUGGUCAAAGUGAUAGCGGUGUAAGAUGGACUUGCGUCUGAUUAGCUAGUUGGUGAGAUAAAAGCCCACCAAGGCAACGAUCAGUAGCCGGCUUGAGAGAGUGUACGGCCACAUUGGGACUGAGACACGGCCCAGACUCCUACGGGAGGCAGCAGUGGGGAAUUUUGCACAAUGGGGGAAACCCUGAUGCAGCGACGCCGCGUGAUUUAGAAGGCCUUCGGGUUGUAAAAAUCUUUUGUAUAGGAAGAAAAUGACAGUACUAUACGAAUAAGGGCCGGCUAAUUACGUG